AGCAACUGAAUGCCUGGGUGGAUCAAGGUGGUGAUCUCUUUUCGUCCUGUAGCAAAGUAGACUUGUGGGUGUGGUCUGCCUUCACUGAGAUGGAAAUAAGAAAUUACAACUAGAGACCAUCAGAUCUGUAAGGCCUGGAGAGCCACGCAGAAGGAUGCAGACUGGUCAUCGGGCAGGAGUAUUGGUGCACAGAUGGCCAGUAUUGGAGGCUGAGACUUGAGAGAUGUCAAACAUCUGAGUGGGAUGGGAAAAAAUGAAGCUGAGAGUGUUGCAAUGAACUUCCCAAGGUCAUUCAUCUGAUUCAGCUAUACCCCGAAUAGAAGUGUGUAGAAGAUGCUACAUGUGCCUCAGAGAGGCAGACAGUGAAAUGGUCAGGAAAGGAGCUCUGAGGAGUCCCCGCUGUGCCUGUGAUUGAUUUCGCACAACACAGCUCUCCAGCCACAUUCAUUUCUGCCAGAAGCCGAUGUUCUUGCUCACCAUGGCUGUGUUAAAUCCUCAGCACCAUAGAAGAUGCUCUCUGUCUGAAUGCUGGAAAUAAGUUGAAUCUUUGAAUUAAAGUCAUUUUGCAAAAUGGAUGCUAGGAGGACCAUCUCUGAAAUCAUAAAAACUAGAUAUCUUGUCACUGAAGAGUUUGCCUCAGGCCAUUUCUCUGAGAUGUUACUAUCUAGCAAACAAACCAGUUCUGGGGAAAGUGAGUGAGAUGGCAUUGAUCUAUGUGUAAAAUUGCCUCUUUUUCCCUCUUAGAGAAGCUAUAACAUAGACAGCAUCUGCAGCAAUCGGGUAGAUUUUUGUUUGUGUGUAAUAUACUGUGUUGAAUAUUCAUUUUUGCUGAACAGUGGG
rnacentral:lncRNA from 1 species